rnacentral:rRNA from 1 species
UACGGGGGGGGCAAGCGUUGUUCGGAAUUACUGGGCGUAAAGGGCCAGUAGGCGGCCAACUAAGUCGGAUGUGAAAUCCCCAGGCUUAACCUGGGAACUGCAUCCGAUACUGGAUGGCUUGAAUCCGGGAGAGGGAUGCAGAAUUCCAGGUGUAGCGGUGAAAUGCGUAGAUAUCUGGAGGAAUACCGGUGGCGAAGGCGGCAUCCUGGACCGGCAUUGGACGCUGAGGAGCGAAAGC